AUGCACGCUUGCGGCGUGCCUCAUACCUGCAAGUCGCGCCCACAGACGAGGAGCUUGCUCCUCUGACGUUAGCGGCGGACGGGUGAGUAACACGUGGAUAACCUACCUAUAAGACUGGGAUAACUUCGGGAAACCGGAGCUAAUACCGGAUAAUAUAUUGAACCGCAUGGUUCAAUAGUGAAAGACGGUUUUGCUGUCACUUAUAGAUGGAUCCGCGCCGCAUUAGCUAGUUGGUAAGGUAACGGCUUACCAAGGCGACGAUGCGUAGCCGACCUGAGAGGGUGAUCGGCCACACUGGAACUGAGACACGGUCCAGACUCCUACGGGAGGCAGCAGUAGGGAAUCUUCCGAAAUGGGCGAAAGCCUGACGGAGCAACGCCGCGUGAGUGAUGAAGGUCUUCGGAUCGUAAAACUCUGUUAUUAGGGAAGAACAAAUGUGUAAGUAACGAUGCACGUCUUGACGGUACCUAAUCAGAAAGCCACGGCUAACUACGU
rnacentral:rRNA from 1 species